GUGUCAGUACGGCUCGUGACUUGGCCGCGGCGAGAGCACGAGUUUCCGCGUGUGGUUCGGGAUCGGGAAUGCCGUCGGCGUUCCGGGAACCGCGAGUGCCGUCGGGCGCGAACCUCGAUCCCGCGGCAGGGCCGGUGUCGCGUUGACGAGCUCCGAAAGAGCCGAGUGCGCGGGGGUCGGGGGCAGACGAGAAGCGUGCCGGCCCCUCGAGUCGACCACCUGGAUAGAGCAACCGCUCCAGGCGGAGGUCGCGCCGAGUUCCCGCGGACGCGGCACCGGGCAUCGAGCGCCGUCGCCCGUUCCGCGGCGACGGCGGCACCUGCGAGGACGCGGGCCACACCGCCGGUGCGUUAGCGCGGCGUCUGCGAGGAAAUCGAGAUGGUGGAGUUGAGCGGAAGCGGGCAAGCGGCGGCGGCCGCCGCAACGGCGGCGACGGCGACGUCGACGUCGUCGCAGCCCUCGGGGUCGCAGGCGGCGACGGGGGCGGCGGGACGCGCCGGCGUCCUGGAGACGCAGGUGCGCGGCCAGUGGUACCGGGUCUUUGUCUCCCUCGAGGACGACUACCUCAGCAUCUCCCUCGACGAGAGCUGCGAGGACGCCGGCCCGCUCAACGGCAACGCCAACAACAACGACAUCGACUGCCUCAACGACCCCGACGUGCCCGACUCGGUCGCCAACCAGAAGCGGGUCGUCCGGGUCGUCAAGAGCGACAACAACGGCCUCGGGAUCUCCAUCAAGGGCGGCAAAGAGAACAAGAUGCCCAUCCUCAUUUCCAAGAUCUUCAAGGGCCUCUCGGCCGACCUCACCGAGCAGCUCUACGUGGGCGACGCCAUCCUCGCGGUAAACGGCGAGGACCUCCGCGAGGCCACCCACGACGAGGCCGUCAAGGCCCUGAAGAGGGCCGGCAAGGUCGUCGAGCUCGAAGUGAAGUAUCUGAGGGAGGUGACGCCGUACUUCCGGAAGGCCUCGAUCAUCCAGGAAGUUGGAUGGGAACUGCAGCGAGGGUUCCUCAGCGCCACCCCGCCACCCCCCAAGUCACCCCCCAGGGCGGACACGCGGUACUUGCCCCUGCAGCUCUGCAGGCUCAUGAGAGCGCAUCCUUCCACGGACCCCGAGGGCCGCAUUUUGGAGCUUCACUCGCCCGAUGGGGUGCACGAGUGCUUGCUGAGAGCGGCUGACAGCGUCGAGGCGAACGUCUGGUUCAACGCGCUGCAUUCCGCCCUGGCGGCACUCACCCUCAAAGCUCUGCGAUUGGCGUCCGCGCUGCUGGACCCUCUCAAACUGCAGCACAUCGGCUGGCUCGCCAGGAGACACUGCAUUCAGAACGGCAGAGCGAGCAGCGAGAGCAGCGAAGACGGGGCCGGAAGUAGCGCCAGCACUUCCAGGGGGGCCGGAAGUGGAUUCGGCCUGGGGUGCACCGGGGGAUGGCGCAGCGUAUUUGGGGCCGUUUCCGGUCGCGAAUUGAGGCUCUACGAGUGCGCACCCUGGAGCCCCGAAGCUUGGGCGUCUCCCAGCAUCACCUGUCCCCUGAUCGCCACAAGGCUCGUCUCCUCGCCCAGCAGGCAGAACGAAGCACCAGGGAGCAGCAACGCCGGGGUCCAGCACGGUGCCACCUUCGCGGUCCGGGUCGGGACUAUCAAUGGCGUUAUCACGCAUCACCUGCGAGCGGAAACGCGUCGCGAUCUGGCCGCAUGGGCGCGGGCGAUCGUGCAAGGUUGUCACGCCGCGGCGUACUCGAUUCGCGAGUACACCGUCCGAUGCGUCUGGCAAGGCAGGUCCUGUCAGUUGAUAAUAAACCACGAAGACGGAUUCACAUUAUACGCCGCCGGGACGCGCGGCGUCACAGGAAACGGCGAAAGUCCUGGAUCUCCACCGACGCCUCUUUGGAGAAGACCCUUCGACAAACUCAAAAUGUCCGCCGAUGACGGAGCGAGACUCCUUUGGCUCGAAUUCGGCGGGGACGACGGAGAAAUUGAGCUGGACCUGGAGAGCUGUCCGAAGCCGGUGGUGUUCGUGCUGCACAAUUUCCUGUCCGCGAAGAUACACCGAUUAGGAUUGUCCGCAUAGGGGUACGAGGGGGCCCCGCCGGAGGCCCCCGAUUUGCCACCGCACACCACCAGGACCGGGAGAGGCCCGUCGACGAGCGGAUCCUCGAGGACGACCGUGCCCGGAAGCGGACGUUGACAGGAGCCAACGAGCGGCUCCGAGAAUCGGCGGGAUCCUUCGAUACCCUCGGAAAGCGCCCAAAAGAGAGCCAACGACUUUAACUUAAGAAAGUAUAGCGACUAUCGACGAGGAAGCGCGGCGACGACCGACUCGAAGCCAUCCACCCUGAACGAUUUCCGAAAAGAAUAAAAAAAAUAAGAAAACCGAGCGCCGAGGGGGGGUGGGGGCGGAAAAAAUUCGCGAUUUCUCCCCCGGCGAAACAUUCCCGAACUGGACAUCGAGGCGCUCGGAAUCGCUAUUAAUCAACGCGCCUAAUUAACUAACUAACGAAGCGAGCACGCGAAGCCGUCGGGCAGGGAGAUAGAGAGAUACCCAGAUUAUCGCUAAAUAUUAACGAAUUAUUACCGUAUAAAUAACGAUUGCGCAUUUGCAUGAUAACUGUAUCGGAGACACCGGGAGAUGGUAAACUCGACGAUUUAGCGGCUAAUUUAUUAUCGUCGGCGAUCCUUGCUGGUCCUGAUGCGAAGAAGCGUUCUCCAAGAUGGCGACCGACUCGCGCCGAGUCUUCGCGACCGCCGACGCUUUUUAAGCCCUGAUGUCGUCGCGAAACGUUCGGGAAAUCGAACGAUCGACUUCGGGAGCUCGUAUCGAAGGACCAGCGAGACGCUUAUAGUUGUUUUAUACAGUUCGUAUCCUUACACGAAGUAACGUAACGCAAAGUGUCGCGGGACGCUCUUAGCUCCGCCAUGACUCGUACUUGCGCAGGGACGCCGCGGUUUCGCGAUGGACUCCAAGGCCCGAAAAAACAGGGCGAGAAUUAUGUCGCCGGGGAUAUUAAUUUGCGAUUCCAUUACGGGUUAUGAAAACGGAGAAAGGAAUUAUCGAGACCGCUCCCUCUCUUGUGCAUAAUUGAGAAAAAAAAAUAAAAUAACGAUCGUUUCGUGGCUCUUAAAGAACUUGGGGGCUAAUCGUUAAUGGCAAAUGUUCCUUUGGGAUGGGGUGGAGAUGUCCUGGAUAUUUAAUUUAAAAAAUGGAAACGAGGUCGGAACUUCGGGGUCCAUCGCGAAGCAAUGAUACUAACCGAUACUAACUCGGCGGUGCGAGACGACGCGUCGCGGGAAUAACGCGGCGUUAAUAUUAACCCGACUAUCCGUUAACGAACGGCAGAAGAGGAGCUAAAGUAAAAAAACCUAUUCAUAAGACAUUCGGUGUGUGUAUAAAUUAACGGUGGAAGAGGGCUGUCGGAAUUUAGGAGUAUCAGCGCCGUUCUCCCGGACUUCAGAACGCGGCGGGUGGCGUACAAUAAAUAAGGAUUAGUAGAGACAUAUCAACGAAGUGACGUAACUUUAAUUGUGUCCAUUAUCAUCUUCCACGAGGCCCUCGAGACAGGUCGGCGAAAAUCGGGUUCCUCUCGCGGCGGAAAAAUAAUGAAAAUUCGAUCGGCCCACCCGAGUCUAUAAAAAUCCUCGACCAGCCCUUGUAAAUAAACAUCCAAAGGGAAGUGGAGGAGAAGGGACCGAGUAUUCCUGAAAUUUAGAUGGCUACGGAUCGAUCCUCGGAAAUCGGAUCACUCCUCGAUCGAUGGAUCGAUCGAUCCGCCCAGCGUGUCGCGGGGGUCGCGGGGCCAUAUCACGCGCACUGUAAACUUAUGUCGAAUGAGUUGACGACGAUUCGUUUGGAAAGGUUUUCGCGUAAAUUCCGUAUUUUUCUAAUAAUUUAGCCAUCGCAGAACGGCGCUCGCGACGUCGCGACUUCUCGCGUCUUCUUGGACGGUCGACGUCGCCGCGAGGUCGAGUCCUUUCUUUCUAGAUUAUCAGAGCUAAUUGUAUCUAUGAGUUACCAAAUAAACGAGCGGUUAGACAUUUCUCGGCGUUACAUUUCCGCGGAAUCGUCGAGUCCCUAUUUUAUAAGCCAGAGAAAAUUCAACCGUCCCCCCGGUACC
rnacentral:misc_RNA from 1 species